rnacentral:tRNA from 4 species
GCCCGGUUAGCUCAAUUGGUCAGAGCGUCGGACUUUUACGAUCACACGUGAUCCGAAGGCUGCGAGUUCGACCCUCGCAUCGGGCG